rnacentral:rRNA from 1 species
UACGUAGGGCGCAAGCGUUGUCCGGAAUUAUUGGGCGUAAAGAGCUCGUAGGCGGUGUGUCGCGUCGGCCGUGAAAACCUGCAGCUUAACUGUGGGCGUGCGGUCGAUACGGGCAUCACUGGAGUUCGGCAGGGGAGACUGGAAUUCCUGGUGUAGCGGUGAAAUGCGCAGAUAUCAGGAGGAACACCGGUGGCGAAGGCGGGUCUCUGGGCCGAUACUGACGCUGAGGAGCGAAAGCAUGGGUAGCGAACAGG